UUCCGGUUGAUCCUGCCGGAGGUCACUGCUAUCGGGGUUCGAUUAAGCCAUGCGAGUCGAGAGGGUUCGGCCCUCGGCGUACUGCUCAGUAACACGUGGAUAACCUGCCCUAAGGAAGGGGAUAACCUCGGGAAACUGAGGAUAAUACCCUAUAGGAUACCGACGCUGGAAUGCCCGGUAUCCCAAAGCUCCGGCGCCUUAGGAUGGAUCUGCGGCCGAUUAGGUCGUUGUUGGGGUAACGGCCCAACAAGCCGAUAAUCGGUACGGUUGUGGGAGCAAGAGCCCGGAGUUGGAUUCUGAGACACGAAUCCAGGCCCUACGGGGCGCAGCAGGCGCGAAAACUUUACAGUGCGGGCAACCGUGAUAAGGGAACCUCGAGUGCCUGUACAUGCAGGCUGUCUGGGUGCCUAAAACACACCCAAAGAAAGGGCCGGGCAAGACCGGUGCCAGCCGCCGCGGUAAUACCGGCGGCUCGAGUGGUGGCCACUUUUAUUGGGCUUAAAGCGUUCGUAGCUGGGUUGUUAAGUCUCUUGGGAAAUCUGGCAGCUUAACUGUCAGGCGUCUAAGAGAUACUGGCAAUCUAGGAACCGGGAGAGGUGAGGGGUACUUCGGGGGUAGGAGUGAAAUCCUGUAAUCCUCGAGGGACCACCUGUGGCGAAGGCGCCUCACCAGAACGGCUUCGACAGUGAGGGACGAAAGCUGGGGGAGCAAACCGGAUUAAAUACCCGGGUAGUCCCAGCCGUAAACGAUGCGCGUUAGGUGUGUCGAUGACCACGAGUCAUCGAGGUGCCGAAGGGAAACCGUGAAACGCGCCGCCUGGGAAGUACGGUCGCAAGGCUGAAACUUAAAGGAAUUGGCGGGGGAGCACCACAACAGGUGGAGCCUGCGGUUUAAUUGGAUUCAACGCCGGG
rnacentral:rRNA from 1 species